UAAAAAUUUGAUUCCAGUUUUUAAGUUUGGUUUAUAUUUUUAUUAUAUGUAAAUUUUAGUUAAUAUAAAUUUUUUAAAUAGAAAUUUAUAAACUUAUUGAAGUUUUUAGCAAUAAUUAGAUUUAUACAAUAAAAGAAAUUUUGAUAUAGGAAUAUAUAUAUAAGUAUUGGUAAAAUUUGUGCCAGCAAUCGCGGUUAAACAGGUGAUACAACUAAACUUUUAUCUGAUAGUAAUAAGCAAGAAUAAUUAUAAUUAACAAUUGAGUUCGCUAGGUGAAAUUAGGAGUUUAAAUAAAAUUAGAAAUUAGAUUGUAAAGUUGCGAAAUUCAAUUAUUAAACUAGGAUUAGAUACCCUAUUAUAAAGAAAUGUAAAUUAAAUAUCAGGGGAGUAGUAGUUAUGGCCUUGAAAUUUAAAGGAUUUGGCGGUAUUUUAGUCUUUUUAGAGGAACCUGUCCUAUAAUUGAUGAUCCACGAUUAAUUAAACUUAAUUUAUAGGUUUGUAUAUCGUCGUAGGUUGAAUAUCUUAUAAGAGUAUUUAAUGUUCAUGAGUUAUAAUUCAUUAAAGGAAAUCAGAUCAAGGUGUAGCUGAUAGUUAAGGAGAGAUGGGUUACAAUAAAAUUAUUUAAAUGGUUAUAUUAAUUAAAAUUUUUAUAUAAAGUGGAUUUAAAAGUAAUAUAUUUAAGUUAAAAUAUAUGAUUCAAGCUCUGAAAUAUGUACAUAUCGCCCGUCGCUUUCAUUGAAACCUAAGGUGAAAUAAGUCGUAACAUAGUGGGCGUACCGGAAGGUGUGCCUAGGCUGAC
rnacentral:ncRNA from 1 species